GUGUUAUACCACCACAACCAUCACAACCACCACGACCAGCACAACAAGUGGUGGAAAACGCAAUUGAUGUUAUACCACCACGACCACCAGUAACAAGACGAACGGUAGACACUGCAAUGAGGUUGCUAGGAAGCCUUUGGAUCGCAAAUAAUCCACUACCGCCAGGCGAUGAUAGUAAGUAUUUGACAUUUUGAUAUAAAAUAUUUUUGUAUUAAAAUUCAAAUUGAACAAUAUGUAAUUUUAUUAUUCGUUUUUCGAAUG